rnacentral:rRNA from 1 species
CCUACGGGAGGCAGCAGUGGGGAAUAUUGGGCAAUGGGCGCAAGCCUGACCCAGCAACGCCGCGUGAAGGAAGAAGGCUUUCGGGUUGUAAACUUCUUUUGACAGGGAAGAGUAGAAGACGGUACCUGUCGAAUAAGCCAUGGCUAACUACGUGCCAGCAGCCGCGGUAAUACGUAGGUGGCAAGCGUUGUCCGGAUUUACUGGGUGUAAAGGGCGUGUAGCCGGGUUGACAAGUCAGAUGUGAAAUCCUGCGGCUUAACCGCAGAACUGCAUUUGAAACUGUUGGUCUUGAGUACUGGAGAGGCAGACGGAAUUCCUAGUGUAGCGGUGAAAUGCGUAGAUAUUAGGAAGAACACCAGUGGCGAAGGCAGUCUGCUGGACAGCAACUGACGGUGAGGCGCGAAAGCGUGGGGAGCAAACAGGAUUAGAUACCCUAGUAGUC